UACAGAGGGUGCGAGCGUUGUCCGGAAUCACUGGGCGUAAAGGGCGCGUAGGUGGCGCCGCAAGUCCAUGGUGAAAGCUCGAUGCUCAACAUCGAGUCGGCCACGGAGACUGCGGGGCUCGAGCACUGUAGGGGCAGAUGGAAUUCCGGGUGUAGCGGUGGAAUGCGUAGAGAUCCGGAAGAACACCGGUGGCGAAGGCGGUCUGCUGGGCAGUUGCUGACGCUGAGGCGCGACAGCGUGGGGAGCAAACAGG
rnacentral:rRNA from 1 species